rnacentral:rRNA from 1 species
AACGAACGCUGGCGGCAUGCCUAACACAUGCAAGUCGAACGAGACCUUCGGGUCUAGUUGCGCACGGGUGCGUAACGCGUGGGAACCUGCCCUUAGGUUCGGAAUAACUCCCCGAAAGGGGUGCUAAUACCGGAUAAUGUCUUCGGACCAAAGAUUUAUCGCCUUUGGAUGGGCCCGCGUUGGAUUAGCUAGUUGGUAGGGUAAAAGCCUACCAAGGCGACGAUCCAUAGCUGGUCUGAGAGGAUGAUCAGCCACACUGGGACUGAGACACGGCCCAGACUCCGACGGAAGGGAGCAGUGGGGAAUAUUGGACAAUGGGCGAAAGCAUGAUCCAGCAAUGCCGCGUGAGUGAUGAAGGCCUUAGGGUUGUAAAGCGCUUUUACCCGGGAUGAUAAUGACAGUACCGGGAGAAUAAGCUCCGGCUAACUCCGU